GGAGAGAUGGCCGAGUGGUUGAUAGCUCCGGUCUUGAAAACCGGUAUAGUUUGCAAAGAACUAUCGAGGGUUCGAAUCCCUCUCUCUCCU
rnacentral:tRNA from 12 species